GGCCUGCCUUCCUGUCUCCUGCGCACCACAGCCCCAGAGUAGGACACUCAGAAGGGAGCAGUGAUGACCGUGUCCAACACCUGUGUCCCUAAGUCAAGACCCACCCAAGACUGUGGUAGGUCAUGUUUGGAGCAAUGCUUUCCUGUGGCUGAGGACUGCCUGCCUUUGGAAAGUGCCAGGAGCCAGGAUGGAGAGUGAUGGAGGCAAGAACCUGCCCAUCCAUCCUGACUCCACUCUAAGCCAGGAGGAAAGAAUAUUUCUUAGACCCUCUGCGAUGUGACGAAGCUCCUGUACCUGGGAACUGAGUCAGAAGCCCAGCUAUCAUUGGGUCCAUUUCUUACCUUCCUGAUUCAUCUUCUCUAGAGGACAAUAAUAGAUACUGAAGUUAUCUUCAACUCCCCACUAUGCAAUCUGAUAGCAGGAGAUUCCCUGUUCCUCAUCCUAAGGUAAUACAUCAAGAGUUUUACUAUUUUCAGUUUUACUAUUUUACUCCUUAGUUUCUGGGGUUUUGUAUCAGAGAUUAGAAUUAAACCUUAUCAAAAGUCUUUCUGCAUCAACUGAAAUGACCAUGCCAUUCUUCUUUAGUCCAUUAAUAGGGUAAUUUAUGUUUACAAAUUUUCUGAUAUUUUCAUCUAACCAUUCCAGAGAUAAAACCCACCUAACUAUGCAUUAUGUGCUUUGUGUAUUAUUAUGUACUUCUAGAGUUGAUCAACGAAUAAACGUACUCCUUAUUGGGUAAAUCUAUUUUUUUCUUGGCUUUAGAUAGCCGAUUCAGAGUAAAUCUUGAUUUUGUACUCUUACCCUUAUUAAUUAAUUGUUCCUUAAUAUUUCUAUCCUUCCUGUUUCUUUGAAUUUACUUUGCUGUUUCUCUUACUGUUUCUUAACUUGCACACAUAUUUUUCUCAAAGCCUA